AUGAGCUCCAGAGUGCACAGCUUCUGUCACCCCCUCCCAAGUGAGGGGCCAGGCAGGCCUGCAGCCCCGGCCUCCACCACCCUGGCUGGACCGGACCAUUACAAGAUUUAUCCAAGGGGUCCUGCAAGCAAACACUCUGUGCACAUCCUCUAACCAGAAGCUGUGCCAGGCGCAGGGGCAGAGAGACAAGCCAGGUUCAGCCCCUGCCCCCAGGGCCUCACAGUAGAGCGAAGGAGGCAGCCAGCUCCUGCAGCAGUUAGGACCACAAGGUGAGCUCCCUGAUGGAGAUAGCGUCCCUCCUGGUGGCAGCCUCAGCCCAGGGUUCCCUCAUCCAGCUUAACAUAACUUCCUGUAAGUUCACAGGGAGACAGCACACACUCUCUGCCCCACUUGACUGCCACUGCCUUUACUUAUGUUCUCUUGCACUCAGCAGGGUGCUUUGGUUGUCAGCCAGGGAAACCUUUGGCUAAGUUCAGGAGAACAGGAUCUUACUGGAAGGACUUUGGGUAGCUCAGUGCUCCCUGGGAAGGCCAGCACACCUGGCUGGAAAUGGACAGUCCACAGCAUCGGGAGCUGCACACAGUCCCACUGAGGCUGCCCCAGAACGUGUAUACUCAAGAUUCCAGCGCUCCAGCCCGGUGUUGGACUGGCCUUGUGUGGGCACCAUGCGCUCACCCCCUAGACAGAGGACCACAGGGCACUCUAACAACACAAGAAGAUGGCCCACAGCUGGGGGAGGGU
rnacentral:lncRNA from 10 species